rnacentral:lncRNA from 1 species
ACUCCCUCAAAAACCAUGGCUACUCCAUCCAAGUCCUCCAUCUUCCUCCUCUUCGCCAUCUUCUUCGCCGUCUCGUUCUCCAACGUCCAAGUUGGAACCUCAGCUCGCCAGCUCCUCCAGCUCCCCAUCCCUGCCGUCGGAAGUGUCAUCCCGAACCUGCCGAUGCCCCAGCUGCCCCCACUUCCCGCCGGCCUUCCUGGAAUCCCGGCCAUUCCCGGGGUUCCCGGAAUUCCUUCUGUCCCGAAGGUCCCUGAGCUCCCUGCAGUCACCGCUCUCCCGGUUCCUAACAUCCCCAAGAUCCCAGGAGUGCCUGGAAACUAAUUACGAUGAUGCUGGCCGGAAUUUCGGGUUCCGGUGAUGGAGUUGUAUGCAGUAUAUAUGUAGACGUACAAGUUAAUGAAUGUAUCAUGUAUUGUAUCCUACAUAGUUUCCUACUGUUUGUGAUUUUCUACACCUUGAUGUAUGAAGUGACCGGUUUAUCGACUCUCUAUUUGUAUUUAAUUAUAUAAAAGAAGACUAUCUAUUUGUAUUUGUACUACAUAUUCAUGUUCUCUUCUUUUUUUAGGGUAUUUUCUAGUUUAAUUCCAUUUACUGAUAAGAAUGUUAUCCACAAUAAUUUCGGAUCUGGUUUGGAAAAUUCAACCCGGUUCGACCAAACUUAACUUGACCCGGAUCGCUUAAUCUAGCUUCAAGGUGUCAAAAAGCUCAAACUAGGAAGGACCGGGACAUGCAUCCCUUGGUUAAAUGUGGAAAUUUGGGAUUUUAGUCUUGAGCAUAAAAAAAUUGAAAUCGAGCUUGUAAUUUUUGAAUUCGGCUCGGUACAUUUUUUAGACCAAUACAACUAUAUAUGUGUCUGACCAUGUCGAACUAAGCUAAGGGGAGUUUCAAAUACCUCAACCUUUUGCGGCACUAUGUACUAAAUCAUGAGAAAAUUUAGUCUUAAAUCUCUGGCCUUCGUGCACCAAAUAUUAAAUUAUAGGGAAAGUUUGAUAUAUUCAUAAUUGAACUCAGAUGUUGAAUGGUAUUUAAAGUUAUGCUUUAUUAAUUGUUUCUUUGUUUAAACUAAGUAUGAUUCCGGUAUUUAAUCCAAUGAUCACUCAUAAUCGAUCUACUUACACCAUUUAAAUCAUGAUUGGAUUGAUCAAAUCAACCACAAGACAUUCACAAUCUACAAUUAACCGGGUUGGACAAAGCCCGGUUUGGGUUUCCAGGCUAUAUUCCUUAACCAGAGCAUGUGUACGUACAGGGAAGCCCGUAGCCAUGCAAGAUUUGCAGAUAACACGUACACGUACGUCCAAUCAACUUCUGGCUGGGCAGCCAAUAAUAACCCAACACGCAUGUGGAAAAGAUCAGACAGAAAAUCUUACCCUCGUGAAAAAAAGCAGAUUAUACUAUUGGGUAAACCGGCUCUAUUAUUGUGUGGUGAGGAAUUACACGACGUCGGUUAAAAGAAAACAAACUAACACAAGCUGGAGCAUACAUACAAUGCCAAAAGAUACCAUGUGGUCUGUGUGGUUCAAUCAACAUUCCAUCCUGUAGACAUCGACAAACGAAAUCAAUACGACCCAUGUGAAUCCUCAUCAUUCAAAAUUCUCUUUGAAAUGAUAACAAGCAAAUUGGGAGAGACUGCUUUUAUGAAUUUUACAGAAUUUUAUUGCCCUUAUUUAUACAAAACAAAUUGGUAAGAGUUAGUAAUUCGUCUCAUUAGACAUUGGAUGUGAUUGGACUACUUAGUAGUGUCGCCCUUCUUCCUUGUAAAACUUACGUAACGCCAACGUCUUUUUUUAUUAUGUUGUAGGACAUUACAACAUAAUAAAGAAAAUAUUUAUUUGUUUCACCGUGAGACAAAAUUAAGGAAGGAAUUAACCGCCGACCUAAACGAUCAAGUAGUAAAUAAUUGUUUUUCAUGCAUAAAAAUACUUACCUCAUCAUCUUCCCAACUUUUGGAAACCUCAUGUCCACAUACACACAAAUCACUGUUAACCAAAUACCAAAAAUGACCCUAUCCCUAUCUCCCCUUAUUAUGACACUCAUCCAAGCUCCCUCUAUAAAUACAAACCUCCAACAAAACCCCUUUGCAAACCCAUCACAAACCAAAAUCUAAGCUUCCAAAUUACAAAUCACUCCCUAAAAAACCAUGGCUACUCCAUCCAAGUCCUCCAUCUUCCUCCUCUUCGCCAUCUUCGUCGCCGUCUCGUUCUCCAACGUCCAAGUUGGAACCUCAGCUCGCCUCCUCCUCCAGCUACCGAAUAUCCCUGCCGUUGGCGGUGUCCUUCCGAUGCCCCAGCUGCCUCCACUCCCCACCACCGGCGGCAUCAUCCCUACUGUUCCUGGAAUCCCAUCCAUUCCCACUAUUCCAACUAUCCCCGCUGUUCCUGGAAUCCCUGCGGUGCCGAAUGUCCCGGUGCCUCCGGUCACUGGAGCCGUUGCCGGCGUCCCCAUUCCUAACCUCCCGGUGCCUUGAAACUAGGCGGUGGAGAUAUUGUGUAGGCAAAUGAGUUGAUGUGUUGUUAUCUCUGUGUUGUUUUGUACUUUGUACUGCUGUGUCGUGUGUUGUUGUAUCCGACUUCGUUUCUUCCUUGUAUUCCACGUGCGACUUUAUUGUAAUUUUAUAAACCAUGGUUAUUAACUAUUUAUACUCUUUACAUUUCAGUCAUGUCAAGGAAACAUAUUCAUCCUUAUAGGUAGACUUGGAUUUUCGGAUCACUGCAUGAGUAAGUGUUCGCCUCUCAAAUGAAGAUGUGGUCUUUAUUCGUACAAUUGUUAAAUAUUACCGGAGGUGAAGAAUAAAUUUGUUUAGGUAGGGAGAUCAUAUUUUAAGGUCGAUAUAAUUUUAAGGGAGAAAUAUCAUUUAACUGUUAAUGGUGGCGAUCUAUAUAGCAGGAUUAUACUUUUGAACGGGAAAAUACGGGUUGUUGAUACUUUUACUGGAACUAUAUCUCAGUUGGAAUUUGUUCGGGCUAGACUGUCGGAGUCGAUACUUAUUGCUCUGUUCUUUAUCAUUUUCAUGUGCAUUGUCAAUAUGGCAGUUCAAGUCUGUAAGUAAAAAAAAAUCGAUCAGUAAUAAAAUUGACAUCAUCCGGUCAAUAGCUAAUGCCUAAUAUACACACAAAAAAUCCAUAAAACACACACGAAAAAUGACUUUUUGAUUUCAUUUGACUAAAAUUUGAAGGUCUAACAUAGUGGAAUUUGAUUUUCUAAUCAUUUCCAACACUUAUUCCAAAAAUUUAGCUAAUUUAAUUUUUUUUCCAAAUCGCAUAGGCAUGAAUAUACCUUAUUUGUCAAACGUUCAGGGAAGGAUUUUUUGAUGGUGAGCUUGUAUACAGAUGAUUUGAUGUACACCAGCAACAUCACAAACAUGAUCAAUCAGUUUAAAGAAAAUGCGAAAAAAUAAUCAAAAAAUAAAUGUUGUGUUUCUUACUUUAUUUCACUUAAAUUGGAAAGAUUGACAUAAUAGAAUUUGAAUUUUUAAUAAUUAUUAACCUUCAUAUUAAAAAUAAGUCAAUUUUAAAAAAAAUCAUUAAUACACAAAAAAAUAGAAAAAUUGAAUAUUUUCUUUAUCGAUUCAUUAAAAAAAAUCAAUAAGGAAAUGUAGUGGUUUGCUAGACUUGCUCGCGAAAGAAAUCGUACCUCUUGAUUAUAUUAAUAUUGUAAACCAUAUAAAUGACUUGUAAGGUACCGCUGUCGUUGCCCAAAGUGGAUAAAUACUAGCCAAUUUUCUUGUAACAAAACAACCUUAUAUAUCAAGUUAAAUUCACAUACAUAACUCUUAACACUCGGACUAAAUCAGUUCGGUUUAACCAAGUUCUGGGUGGUCAAGCCAAUUUCACCAUUAACGUUCAUGCAUGGAGUUAUAAUUACUUACCUCAUCCUUUCCCCACAUGUUUGAAACCCUAAUGUCCACAUACAUACACAUCAACUGUUAGCCAAUACCCACAACUUACCCUAUCCUUAUCUCCCAUCACCUCUCUCUAUAAAUACAAACCUCCAACCAAAACCCACUUGCAACCCCAUCACAAACCCAAAAAACCAAACCAAAAGUUGCCAAAUUACAAACCACUCCCUAGAAAACCAUGGCUGGUCCUUCAAAGUCCUCCAUCUUCCUCCUCUUUGCCCUCUUCGUUGCCGUCUCGUUUUCCAACGUCCAGGUUGGAACCUCAGCUCGCCUUCUCCUCCAGUUACCAGCCAUCCCUGCUGGAGUCAUCCCGAAUCUUCCAAUGCCCCAGCUGCCUCCACUUCCUACUACCGGCGCCAUUCCGGCCAUCCCAUCUGUUCCUGUUCCUUUCUUGCCCAAGAUUCCGGUCACGGCAGGUGUCGCCGGCGUCCCCAUUCCCAUCCCCGGACAUUAAUUAAAACCAUUUCGUCCCAAUAAUUAUGAUGGUUGGAUGUGGGAGACGUACGAGCUAGUUAAUGUGUUUGGUAUCUUGUACUGUACUUGUACUACUGUGUCGUGUGUUGUUGUAUCCGACGUCGUUUUUUAUUCGCAUGGACCUUAUUGUAAUUGGGUGUUGUUAUUUGCCGUCCGUAUUUUACUUUACACGGUCCAUAUUUAAUAUAAACGGACUAAUAUAUCUCUAAAUAUUCUUCGGAAUAAAAAAUAACUAUAAGUAUUAAAUAGAAAAAGAUAAAAAUCCUAAACAGAUGCAGAAACAAACUCUAAAUUAGAACAAAAAGGAUUAAAAACUUACUAAUAUAUUAGUCUAUUCAAAUAAAAAAAAGGACUGCUUAAAGUAAAUAUGAACUGCAAAUAGCAAUUGUAAUUGUAUGAAUCCACGUUUAUGUAUGACAAAUGAAUCUGUUAUAUUUUUAUGUUAUGGAUAAUAGAUCACCCAUUUUCUUCGAAAUCAUCCUUUUUAAAAUAGAUAAAUAUUUUGCAUGAAUCUACACUAUGAACUAUAAGCGGAUAAUACCAUACUAAUAUUGGGUUUCACAAAAACUUAUAUGGACUGAGAAUUUGAAAUCUCAUUUUUGUGGAUUUUGUGCCUGACAAGCUUGAGCCUUUCUGUAGGCAGAAUGGUGGGCUUAGUCCAACUUUAUUGAUGAAUUGCUUUUAUCAUUUUGACAGGCCCUGUGACCAAUUGAAAAAUCAUUAUGCACAAAUUGUAUUUAUUUGUUCUAGACAUAUAUCUUUGAUGAUUUAGUGAUAUUUUUUAUAUGAAAUUAAAUGUGUUAGAUUAUUAUUCAUCAGCAAGAGAAAAAGGCUGUAGGCCUAUUUUCAGUCCAAUGGUAUGGGAGAGUAGCAUUGAUGAGCAGUAUAACUAAUGCAAGACGAGAAACAAACGAUAAAGAGAUACGAUUAUGCAAAGUGAGUCUUUUUUUCAAGUGAAUUAGCAACAAGCAUAUAUAGCAUUGUCAUAAAAAUGCUUACUUCUAGUGGCAUGCUCUGUGUCAUUCAAGG